rnacentral:rRNA from 1 species
UACGUGGGGGGCAAGCGUUGUCCGGAAUCAUUGGGCGUAAAGAGCUCGUAGGUGGUCUGUCGCGUCGGCUGUGAAAACUCGGGGCUCAACCCCGAGCCUGCAGUCGAUACGGGCAGACUUGAGUGCGGUAGGGGAGACUGGAAUUCCUGGUGUAGCGGUGAAAUGCGCAGAUAUCAGGAGGAACACCGGCGGCGAAGGCGGGUCUCUGGGCUGACACUGACGCUCAUGCACGAAAGCGUGGGGAGCGAAACAAGGAUUGAGAUACCCGUUCGUAGUCC